UACGGGGGGGGCAAGCGUUGUUCGGAAUUACUGGGCGUAAAGGGCGCGUAGGCGGUUUGCCAAGUCGAAUGUGAAAUACCAGAGCUUAACUCUGGCAGGUCGUUCGAUACUGGCAGGCUAGAGUGUGGAAGAGGAUGUCGGAAUUCCCGGUGUAGCGGUGAAAUGCGUAGAUAUCAGGAGGAACACCUGUGGUGUAGACAGCUUACUGGACCACUUCUGACGCUGAGACACGAAAGCGUGGGUAGCAAACAGG
rnacentral:rRNA from 1 species